rnacentral:rRNA from 1 species
CGCGUAGGCGGUUUUGUCGGUCAGAUGUGAAAGCCCGGGGCUCAACCCCGGACGUGCAUUUGAAACAGCAAGACUUGAGUACGGGAGAAGAAAGCGGAAUUCCUGGUGUAGAGGUGAAAUUCGUAGAUAUCAGGAGGAACACCGAUGGCGAAGGCAGCUUUCUGGACCGAUACUGACGCUGAGGCGCGAAGGCGUGGGUAGCGAACA